UACCAGCACCCCGAGUGGUCGGGACGAUUAUUGGGCCUAAAGCAUCCGUAGCCGGUCCUGCAAGUCUUCCGUUAAAUCCAGCUGCUCAACAGAUGGGCUGCGGGGGAUACUACAGGGCUAGGAGGCGGGAGAGGCAAGCGGUACUUUAUGGGUAGGGGUAAAAUCCGUUGAUCCAUAGAAGACCACCAGUGGCGAAGGCGGCUUGUCAGAACGCGCUCGACGGUGAGGGAUGAAAGCUGGGGGAGCAAACCGG
rnacentral:rRNA from 1 species